rnacentral:rRNA from 1 species
UACGGAGGAUCCAAGCGUUAUCCGGAUUUAUUGGGUUUAAAGGGUGCGUAGGCGGAAUUGUAAGUCAGUGGUGAAAGCCUGCAGCUUAACUGUAGAAUUGCCAUUGAUACUGCAAAUCUUGAGUACAUUUGAAGUGGGCGGAAUGUGUCAUGUAGCGGUGAAAUGCAUAGAUAUGACACAGAACACCGAUUGCGAAGGCAGCUCACUAAACUGUAACUGACGCUGAGGCACGAAAGCGUGGGGAUCGAACAGG